rnacentral:lncRNA from 1 species
UAAACUAAACACUAAUAAAAGGAAUAAAAACUAAUAAUGUCACGUCUGGUGUUGUGGGCGCUCCUUGUCCUUCCACACUUAGCUCCAACGGAGGUUCUCAGUUAGACAACUACAACACCCAGAAUGCACCACCCACUGACAUCACACACACUGCCGAUCACGUGACACCUCACCUGCCCCGGCCAGGAAGUCCUGAGUAUUGAUUAUUACCUGCAGUAUAAAAGGACUGCUCACACACACACCUACGCCACGUAUUGCCUGGUUUCGCCCACAUUACAAAGCGUUUAUUCUGUGAUUGUUUUUCUCGUGUAUGACCUUGACUUUUGUUUUUUCGACCUUGAUUUUUGCCUUGCCUACUCUGUGGAUUUUCGUGUAUUACCUGGACUGUUUAUUGUUUACGUUUCGGAUCACCUCUGAUACUGCUUGCCUCGUGUAUGACCUCCUGGACUGUGUAUUGUUGCUGUUUGUGGAUUAUCUCUGAUACUGCCUGCCCCGUGUAUGACCAUUGGACUGCUUCACUACCCGCUGCCAUUUGGUGAAGGCAAAGAUGAAGAUGUGAUGGUCUGCAGCUGUUUUGACAUGUUUAACAAAUAUAUGCUCACAACAUGGUGGCAACAGUCUGGGGAGUGCUGUUCCUGUUGCAGUAUUGCAGAUUGUACACAGAGGUCUGUAAAGACAUGGUUUGACAGGUUUGGUGUGGAGGAACUGCAGUGGCUUACACAGAGCCCUGACCUCAAUCCUACUGAAGUUUGGGAUGAAUUGAAAUGUUGGAUGCGAGCCAGGCUCUCUCCUCCAGCAUCAGUGCCUGACCUCAAAAUGCUCUUUUGACUGAAUGGGUACAACUUUCCCCAGAAACACUCAAAUCUUGUUGAAGGUCUUCUCAAAAAGAGUGGAGCUAUUAUAAUGGAAAUGUAGGGGCAGAUCCAAUAUAUAUCCCAUAUGCAGCCAUGAUGCAAACUCUGAACAGUCUUCUUUCCUGGAAUUCCUUUGAAUUUGUGUGAAUUUACAUCAACAUUCACUAAAAAGCAGGAGAUCGCUGGUUCGAAUCCCGUUCAUGUAGCUUGCCAUCGGAUACUGGAGCCCUGAGUGUGGGUGGGUAGAUGGCGCUCUCUCC